rnacentral:lncRNA from 1 species
GCUGGUGCUCCGGCUGGGCUGGCCGCUGGGCCGCAGACUGGAGCCAAGCUGGGUCUGAGGACUGUUCGGCUGGAAGGUAAUGGGGCCUGGGGCCCGAAUGCUGCCCCUGGGGCUGUGUGUGCAUGUGCGCGUAGGAUAGUCUGGAAGGUUCUGGAGCAAAGUCCAUGAUGAGUGGACACAAAGUGAGAGGGUACGGGUGCGAAACCUUCCCAGGAACGCUCAUUUAACUCGGGGUGCUCUGUGGUCUGGACUGCCUUGGAAAAGAAGGCGGGGUGCCGGGGACUCUGAUGGCUGGGGAGCAGGCCCUUCUUGUCAGAGGGGCUUCCUGCCAGGCAAAGCUUCCCGGCGCUGGUCCCAGGGAUUUGGCUAUGCCACCCAGGUGGCCUCUGGGAAAGCCUGAGGGACAAAGGAGGCAGAAACAGCGGAUGACUGUUACCCUAAUUCAUAGAUGCGGCAGGUGAGGCCCAGUGAGGAAGAGGGACGUGGCCAAAGUCGUGCUUGCUGGGACCUGAACCCAAGCCCCGGGCUUCCCACUGCAUUGCCCCACAGCCGAGAGGGCCCGGGGCUCCCACCUCAGCCCCAGUGGUUGCCACAUUUGGUCAGAGCCAUGCGUCCCUAGGCCAAGGUCUCACCUUGGCCCCAGACCUCAGUGUGGGAGGCCUGCAUCCUUAUGGGCAUCUGGGCCUGAUAAGGCUGUUGACGGUUUGAGGCUUAUCCAUUUGACUGAUGCCUGCCGUCCUUCGGUGGGCCGAUAGUGUAACUGACAGCACUAGGCGGGCCUGGGAACUGAGCCAGGAGCAUUUGGCGCCUCAGGACAACUGGCGAUUAGUAUGAAAUGCUCACAACCCUAACCGUCCCCAUCGUCGCCAUCUAAUAGAGAAAGCAUGGCACGGUGUUAAGAACACAGAUGCCCAAGUGCACUGCCUGAGUCUGAAGCCUGGCCUUGCCAUUUCCAGCUGUGUGACUUUGGGUAGAUAACCUAACCUCUCUGGGCCUCAGUCUCGUCUGUACAACGGAGCUAGUGGGUGAACCUACCUCGGGGUUGUUGCGAUGAUUAUAUAAGAUGGCAUAUAAGGUUCCCGGCACGGUGCCUGGCUGGCAGCGGGUUCUUCUCUUUCAGACUCCCUAGGUGUGUGUCUUCCUCCUAGCGACUUUCACCAUUUCUGAUUAUUUUGUUUGUCUAUACAGUUAUUUGUUGAUCGCCGAUCUCCCCCAUCAGCUCCAAGAGUAGAUGUCUGUCCUGCUCACCGUGGUCUCCCCAGUUCCUAGGUCAGGGCCUGCACCUUGUGGGUGCCCUACAGACAUGCUAGAGUGAGGGUAAGCACGCCCGCCUUGUGAGAAGGCCCCAGUGAGGUAAUGCCUCUAGAGGACUCCUCUGAUGUCUGGCAUAUACUGGGGGCUCAACGAAGGGGGGCUAUUAUUAUUGUGAAUGCACACCAUGCCCUGCGAGUCUGGGGACUGUUAUUAGUCUCAUUUUACAAAAGAGAAUAUGGCACAGAGAAGUUGAGACACGUGUUGGAGUCACACAGCUAGGAAGACAGAGCUGGUUUCUAACUUUGGUCUCUGAUUCAGCCCAGAGCCCAGGGCCAAGGUGAGGCCCAGGCUGAGGUAUGCUGAGCUUGGGUGACCCACGGGGCCGUCUUCGUCAAUGCCAUGCCCAGUUUGAGAAGUGCCCCUGAUGGAACUGGGUGCAGGUGCCUCAGACUCUGCUCUAACCAGGGAAUCCCAGGGCCAUCCCAACAAGGGCCCCAGGUCAACUCCAGGGGCAGGAGCCCUGGAACUCUGGUGGGGCAGGGGCGCAAUGUGACUAAGUAAGGGUGGACAAGAACCCCCGGGGCGGUGGAGGGUGGGCAAAGCUGCAGCGCUCCUCCUACUGGCCAAUAGCGGAACUGCAGGGGUUGGCCCAAUGCUUUUCUGCCCCCAGUGAAAAAGAGGGGUCGGUUUUGCACUAACGGGGCCUUUGCUUAAAACCUCCCGAUGGCUUCCCACUGCAAGCAGAAUUAGAAGAACAUUCCAGUUCCUCCCCGUGGUCUGGUAGGCCCUUCCAGAAGUCCCUGCCCAGCCCUCCUUGCUCGCCUCCUGCGCCCAACCCCCUUAUCCCUGCUCUGGAAUCUCCCCAAGUUCAUUUCUCUCUCAAGGGGUUUCCACCUCUGUUCCCUCUGUAGGAGUGCUUUUCCCUGGGCUCCCUGUUGUCCCUCAUCUCCAACAUCCCCGUUGGAGAACCUGCAGAUCGAAAGAGAAUUCAAAGACCUCUCAACCAACGCACACGCGCAGAUCCGAUCUGCAUCCUGGUUCAAACUGUUAGAAACCCCAAAUCACUGACAGCAAAACCAGCCAUUUAUCCAGCUUAAUGAGAGGGAUGGAAAGGUGAACAAUCACCAGGUAUUUGAUGAUAAUAAGAGAUGAUUAAUAAUAUUUUUAGAAGUGAUAAUGGUAUUUGACGAUUAAAAAAAACCUUAGCAUCCUUGAGGUGUAAUUUCCAUAAAAUAAAAUGAGCCCACUUUGAGUUAGAAUUCAGUGAGUUUGCCCAAACGUAUACAGUUAUGAAACCAUGUGGCUACCUUGUUGGAAAAGAGUUCUUCACUUUCAGAGAUGUGUGCUGAAGUAUUUGCAGAUGAAAUAAUACAGGAGGGAAAUGUAAUAAUAAUGAUAAAUAGGGGCGCCUGGGUGGCUUAGUCGGAUAAGCCUCCGACUCUUGAUUUCCGCUCCGGCCACGAUCUCACGGUUCAUGGAUUCAAGCCCCACGUCCGGCCACCGCUGGCAGUGGGGGGCCUGCUUGGGAUUCUCGGUUUCUCCUCUCUCUCUGCCCCUCCCCUGCUCACAUUCUGUCUCUCUCUCUCUCUCUCUCAAAAAUAAAUAGAUUUUGGGGCGCCUGGGUGGCGCAGUCGGUUAAGCGUCCGACUUCAGCCAGGUCACGAUCUCGCGGUCCGGGAGUUCGAGCCCCGCGUCAGGCUCUGGGCUGAUGGCUCAGAGCCUGGAGCCUGUUUCCGAUUCUGUGUCUCCCUCUCUCUCUGCCCCUCCCCCGUUCAUGCUCUGUCUCUCUCUGUCCCAAAAAUAAAUAAACAUUGAAAAAAAGAAAUUUAAAAAAAUAAAAAAAUAAAUAAAAAAAAAUAAAUAAAUAGAUUAAAAAAAAAUUAAAAUACCGCCUCCUUCCCCUGUCACCCCUGUUUGACGUUUUGCGAUCCUGUCUCCGCAGCUAGAAUGUGAGCUCUGGCCAAGCAGGGGCUGCUUCUGACUUGGGCACUCCUGGG